GACGAACGCUGGCGGCGUGCUUAACACAUGCUAGUCGAACGGAAAGGCCCUGCUUUUGUGGGGUGCUCGAGUGGCGAACGGGUGAGCAACACGUGAGUAACCUGCCCUUGACUUUGGGAUAACUUCAGGAAACUGGGGCUAAUACCGGAUAGGAGCUCCUGCUGCAUGGUGGGGGUUGGAAAGUUUCGGCGGUUGGGGAUGGACUCGCGGCUUAUCAGCUUGUUGGUGGGGUAGUGGCUUACCAAGGCUUUGACGGGUAGCCGGCCUGAGAGGGUGACCGGCCACAUUGGGACUGAGAUACGGCCCAGACUCCUACGGGAGGCAGCAGUGGGGAAUAUUGCACAAUGGGCGGAAGCCUGAUGCAGCAACGCCGCGUGCGGGAUGACGGCCUUCGGGUUGUAAACCGCUUUCGCCUGUGACGAAGCGUGAGUGACGGUAAUGGGUAAAGAAGCACCGGCUAACUACGUGCCAGCAGCCGCGGUGAUACGUAGGGUGCGAGCGUUGUCCGGAUUUAUUGGGCGUAAAGGGCUCGUAGGUGGUUGAUCGCGUCGGAAGUGUAAUCUUGGGGCUUAACCCUGAGCGUGCUUUCGAUACGGGUUGACUUGAGGAAGGUAGGGGAGAAUGGAAUUCCUGGCGGAGCGGUGGAAUGCGCAGAUAUCAGGAGGAACACCAGUGGCGAAGGCGGUUCUCUGGGCCUUUCCUGACGCUGAGGAGCGAAAGCGUGGGGAGCGAACAGGCUUAGAUACCCUGGUAGUCCACGCUGUAAACGGUGGGUACUAGGUGUGGGGUCCAUUCCACGGGUUCCGUGCCGUAGCUAACGCUUUAAGUACCCCGCCUGGGGAGUACGGCCGCAAGGCUAAAACUCAAAGGAAUUGACGGGGCCCCGCACAAGCGGCGGAGCAUGCGGAUUAAUUCGAUGCAACGCGUAGAACCUUACCUGGGUUUGACAUGGAUCGGGAGUGCUCAGAGAUGGGUGUGCCUCUUUUGGGGUCGGUUCACAGGUGGUGCAUGGCUGUCGUCAGCUCGUGUCGUGAGAUGUUGGGUUAAGUCCCGCAACGAGCGCAACCCUUGUUCACUGUUGCCAGCACGUUAUGGUGGGGACUCAGUGGAGACCGCCGGGGUCAACUCGGAGGAAGGUGGGGAUGACGUCAAGUCAUCAUGCCCCUUACGUCCAGGGCUUCACGCAUGCUACAAUGGCUGGUACAGAGAGUGGCGAGCCUGUGAGGGUGAGCGAAUCUCGGAAAGCCGGUCUCAGUUCGGAUUGGGGUCUGCAACUCGACCUCAUGAAGUCGGAGUCGCUAGUAAUCGCAGAUCAGCAACGCUGCGGUGAAUAAGUUCCCGGG
rnacentral:rRNA from 1 species